rfam:Candidate division WS6 bacterium 34_10 MPI_scaffold_7033, whole genome shotgun sequence.
GGAGAGAUGCCUGAGUGGUCGAAAGGGGAGCACUCGAAAUGCUCUGUAUAGAGUUAAUCUAUACCGGGGGUUCGAAUCCCUCUCUCUCCG